rnacentral:rRNA from 1 species
UACGUAGGUGACCAGCGUUGUCCGGAUUUACUGGGCGUAAAGAGCGCGCAGGCGGUCGUUCAAGUCGAGUGUGAAAGCCCCCGGCUCAACUGGGGAGGGUCAUUCGAUACUGAUCGACUCGAAGGCAGGAGAGGGUAGUGGAAUUCCCGGUGUAGUGGUGAAAUGCGUAGAUAUCGUCAGGAACGCCGAUGGUGAAGACAGGUGACUGGGCUAGUUCUGACACUGAGGCACGAAAGCGUGGGGAGCGAACGGG